GUUCUGGUAGCUCAGCUGGUUAGAGCAAAGGACUGAAAAUCCUUCAGUGGUUCGAAUCCACAUCUGAGCG
rnacentral:tRNA from 1 species